UGUACUUUGACCCUAUGAGGACAGACAACCGGAUAAGCACGUGGGUUCGUAGCAGCAAGAGUCCAUAAACACUCUUCGUAGCAGGUGUGCAAAGAAAUUAUGUUCACAACGAACUGUUACUUGCAAACAACCACUGAGUCUGUGUUUUGGCUCCCCACUCUGUCGUCGUUGUGAGUUGCAAUACCAGGCAGUGAUGAUGCGUGCUGUUUGCCUGCCUCGGGCUUGCAGUGGCUACAGGGUGAGGGGCUCGCAGCCACCAUGAUGCCAAAGAGCCACGCUCCCUUGCCCGUGACAGAGUGAGCAGAAACAAUAUCACUUCGUUCCGACUUCGUGCAGCAAGGCGGCAGAUGAAGUGGAUUGGCUGGCUGGCAGCUGUGUCAAUCGGUUCCGUGGUCGAAGUCAGCUCGUGACCGAAACACUGCACAAAAGAGUACAUAACCCCCCUCUUGCUGCACAACAUGAGGACUACUCUACAAGUUCUCGCUUGUUGAUCAGUACGGUAUGUGUCUGACAGUGUGUAUUGAAAGUUCAAACUUUGAAAGUCUCCAUACGCGUAGCUCCACAGCUCCUAGUUUCUCUAUGUUUGGAAUUGGAGGAGAGCGAGGUAGUCGCUGUCACAUCAGCUGUGCAUGUGCUGUCCAGUUUGCUAGUAUUCAGUAGCAGUGUGUCCGUGGAUAUCUGGCCUUUUUUCAACGUGAAACAAGGACAGGGUCAAGCAGACUAUCGUAACGACGUACCCCUGCCAGUACCCAGUAGUGAACGUCGAGUACUAGUAUGUCUGUGGCGGAUUCGACUCACUCAUUAGAGGAAGGUCCUCACACACCAGAAGUCGAUGUACUUCAAUCGGACCAAGCCAGUCUGCAGCUUGACAGUGCGUUGGCCUCAGAUGAAAAUGAAGACGCUGGGGUCGCUUCUGCAACAAGCGGUCGUUCCGCAACCAACUGCCAGCAUGGAGCCGCAACUGUCCACAUGAACGCAUGCCGCCAAUCUCGUCAUCGUCGCACUAACACAUGUAUAAGUCGGAGAAGACGGCAGAAAGCAGACCAUUUCUACGCGCCCAGAAUAUGUGGUGUUGUGGCUGUGGCGAUGUUUGCCGUCGGCCUGAUCCUAAUCAUUCAUAGCAGCAGACAACUGAAUAAAACACACAGCAGCAGCAGGAGCCAGUCUGGCAAUCGUUUGGUGUUAGUUGGCGCCGGAGCUGUGCUUAUCUUUCUCUCACUGGCCAUGAUUGUGCUGCUUAUCUGUAUGAUGUUUCUACGACGAAAUGCCUUGAAGACCGGACAAAUCAGACCAAGAAGUAACUAUGCCGUUGCUGAAGGCAAUGUCCAAGCUGACGAACCUAAACAGGUCAACGCUCACCAGCCACAUUGCCAUGCCGAGUCCAUCCUGAACAGUGAGGCACCACCGCGGUACAUGGACGCAGCGCGGGCCUCUUCGGCGAACGAUGCUGACUGCUCACUGUCGUCUGUAUCUCAGCAGCCAGUCUGUGAUCAUCAUCGCUACAGCAUUGACAGCACUUGCAGCAGUGUGGUUGAUCUGAGUGUUCAUACCUAUGCAUUGCAGUGCUCAAGCUGUCCGCCGCCACCCAGAUACGAUGAAAUACUAGAGUAGUAGAGACGACAUAAGCUCUUCACAGUGCGUCACUGGAUUGCUGCCAGAACCGUGUCAUGCCAAUCUACAUGUACAUGCACUGUGGGCAUACGAUGUAGCUAUCAUCACUACAUCUACUGCCACCAGCAUUGUCACGGUAAGCUGGUUACUAAAAUGAAACACCUAUAGUAACAUUAACCCAUAGAGUGAUUUUCUACUAGUAGCAAUUAUAUUUUUAAACAUAUUUCCACUUCAAGCAGCAGUUACAAUUCAUUGGUGUUAUGGAAGAUUUAUUCUCCUACUACUUCGAAGUACCCUCACUUUUUCCCCAGCAUGCAUAGGUUAUUUUUUUAGCGGUUUCCAUUAUUUAUAACGGUCAUGUAUGCCAGCACGCUGCUGCUUUUGGCUGAAUUUGUGUUUGAUUUAGGAAACUCCUGGCCCGGUGUUUCUAAUGAUUGUUUCGUCAGCUGAAGAUUCUCUCAGAACUUGAUAUGACUUGCAUUUUCGUACAGCUCGUCUAUCAAAGCCUUGUAUUUCUACUUGUAUUCGUAACGUAUAAGGAAUCCACAUUACUGAUUUCUAGAGAUUUGCAAGUUAUUUAUCUAGCCUCCGGAUGAUCCCCUUUCACUCGGGCGAUGAUCCGACACAGAUUUUGUGAACGGCCUACAUCAUCAGACCGUCUUGCCCGGCGCUCAGCCUAUAAUAUCACGACUUUCUCCCGUA